rnacentral:rRNA from 1 species
CAAUAGCGUAUAUUAAAGUUGUUGCAGUUAAAAAGCUCGUAGUUGAAUUUCUGGCGGGCGCGCCGGUCUUCCAAGUGUUGUACUGGGCGCAGUCCGCCAUCCUUGUGGAGAGGGCUCGCAUUGAGUUGCGUGUCGGAUCUGCAUCAUUUACUGUGAAAAAAUUAGAGUGUUUAAAGCAGGCUGUCGCUUGGAUACAUUAGCAUGGAAUAAUAAGAUAGGACUUCGGUCUAUUUUGUUGGUUGCGAACCGAGGUAAUGAUUAAUAGGGAUAGUUGGGGGUAUUCAUAUUUAAUUGUCAGAGGUGAAAUUCUUGGAUUUAUGAAAGAUGAACAACUGCGAAAGCAUUUACCAAGGAUGUUUUCAUUAA